rnacentral:rRNA from 1 species
AAAGUCGUAACAAGGUUUCCGUAGGUGAACCUGCGGAAGGAUCAUUC